UUCUAUUUUUAGCCAUGGCAGCCAUCUUGGUUAGUUGGCCAGGUCACCGGACACAAUUUUUAAACUAGAUACCCGAAUGAUGAUUGUGGCCAAGUUUGGUUUAAUUUGGUCCAGUGGUUUCAGAGGAGAAGAUUUUUGUAAAAGAUAACUAAGAUUUACGAAAAAUGGUUAAAAAUUGACUAUAAAGGGCAAUAACUCCUAAAGGGGUCAACAGACCAUUUUGGUCAUGUUGACUUAUUUGUAGAUC
rnacentral:lncRNA from 1 species